AUUUAUACAUGGCAGAGGAGAUACCAUUAUUAUAAAAGUGGUUUUCCCAGGGUAAGGCUCAUCUAUUGCACUUUAGAUAUGCUGACCCCUGUGAUUUCCCCAAAUGUGGGGAAAUCAAGUGCCUAAGUGGGGGACUAUGUUUGUGGUUUCUCCUG
rnacentral:snRNA from 1 species